rnacentral:rRNA from 1 species
GGCCAAGCUAUUAAGGGCAAACGGCGGAUGCCUUGGCACUAAGAGGCGAUGAAAGACGUGGCAAGCUGCGAUAAGCCUCGGGGAGCUGCUAAACAAGCUUUGAUCCGGGGAUUUCUGAAUGGGGAAACCUGUUGCGGGUAGUGCCGCGACAUCUGCAGCUGAAUACAUAGGCUGCAGAAGCCAACGAGGGGAACUGAAACAUCUUAGUACCCUCAGGAAAAGAAAACAACCGUGAUUUCCAAAGUAGCGGCGAGCGAAAUGGAAACAGCCCAAACCGAAUACGUGUCAAGCUCGGAGGCGUUGCGUAUUCGGGGUCGUGGGAAUUGACUGGACGGGUCUCCGAACCUGUCGGGAAGUUACAAAUCUAAUGGAUAUCCGAAUGGUCUGGAAAGGCCAACCAUAGACGGUGAAAGUCCGGUAGGGAAAAUUCAUCAGACUUCCUGGGUCGAUUUCCCAAGUACCACGGGGCACGAGAAAUCCUGUGGGAAUUCGGGAGGACCAUCUCCUAAGGCUAAAUACUACUUAGUGACCGAUAGUGAACCAGUACCGUGAGGGAAAGGUGAAAAGCACCCCGGUGAGGGGAGUGAAAUAGUACCUGAAACCGUUUGCCUACAAGCGGUGGGAGCACGAUGAAUGUCGCUUCGGCGUCAUUCCGUGUGACUGCGUGCCUUUUGCAUAAUGAGUCAGCGAGUUAUUCUACGUAGCAAGGUUAAGCCGUGAGGUGUAGCCGUAGCGAAAGCGAGUCUGAACAGGGCGAAUAGUUGCGUGGAGUAGACCCGAAACCAAGUGAUCUAUCCAUGGCCAGGGUGAAGCGCAAGUAAAAUUGCGUGAAGGCCCGAACCGUUGUGGGUUGAAAACCGCUCGGAUGAGCUGUGGAUAGGGGUGAAAGGCCAAACAAACUUGGAAAUAGCUGGUUCUCCCCGAAAUAUAUUUAGGUAUAGCCUUGCGCAAUUAAGUGACGGGGGUAGAGCACUGGAUGGGCUAGGGGUCCUACCAGAUUACCAAACCUAACCAAACUCCGAAUACCGUCAACUUUUAUCGCAGGAGUCAGACUACGGGAGCUAAGUUCCGUGGUCGAGAGGGAAACAGCCCAGAUCGCCAGCUAAGGUCCCCAAAUAUGUGCUAAGUGGGAAAGGAUGUGGAAAUGCACAGACAACCAGGAGGUUGGCUUAGAAGCAGCCACCCUUUAAAGAAAGCGUAAUAGCUCACUGGUCGAGUGAGUCUGCGCCGAAAAUGUAACGGGGCUCAAGCACAUUACCGAAGCUGCGGGUUUCUUCGAUUCGUCGAAGGAGCGGUAGGGGAGCAUUCUGUAUGGGACUGAAGGUCGACCGUAAGGACGGCUGGACUGUACAGAAGAGACCAUGCUGACAUGAGUAACGAUAAAGCGGGUGAAAAACCCGCUCGCCGAAAGCCCAAGGUUUCCUGAGUAAAGCUAAUCUGCUCAGGGUUAGUCGAUCCCUAAGCCGAGGCCGAAAGGCGUAGGUGAUGGCAAACAGGUUAAUAUUCCUGUACCACCAGACCAUCGUUUGAGUGAUGGGGGGACGCAGAAGGGUAGGUCAGCCGUCUGUUGGAUUAGGCGGUUUAAGCGUGUAGGCUGAAAGGACAGGCAAAUCCGUCCUUUCUAUUAAGGCUGAGACGUGAUGACGAGUCCGCUUGCGGACACAAAGUGAUUGAUCCCAUGCUGCCAAGAAAAGCCUCUAGCGAGAUGAUCAGGUGAUCGUACCGAAAACCGACACAGGUGGGCUGGGAGAGAAUCCCGAGGCGCUUGAGAGAACCCUGGUUAAGGAACUCGGCAAAAUAACACCGUAACUUCGGGAGAAGGUGUGCCUCCAUUAGGUGAAGCGACUUGCUUGCUGAGCCGAAGGGGGUCGCAGAGAAAUGGCGGUAGCGACUGUUUACUAAAAACAUAGGACUCUGCUAAGUCGCAAGACGAUGUAUAGGGUCUGACGCCUGCCCGGUGCUGGAAGGUUAAGGGGAGAUGUUAGCUUUCGAGCGAAGCAUUGAACCGAAGCCCCAGUAAACGGCGGCCGUAACUAUAACGGUCCUAAGGUAGCGAAAUUCCUUGUCGGGUAAGUUCCGACCUGCACGAAUGGCGUAACGACUUCCGCACUGUCUCAACCAGGGACUCAGUGAAAUUGUAGUGGCGGUGAAGAUGCCGUCUACCCGCGAAAAGACGGAAAGACCCCGGCACCUUUACUAUAGCUUGACAUUGAAUUUUGGAAUAGUAUGUGUAGGAUAGGUGGGAGGCGUCGAAGCCGGAACGCUAGUUUCGGUGGAGCCACCCUUGAAAUACCACCCUUGCUAUUUUAGAAUUCUAACUUCAACCCGUUAUCCGGGUGAAGGACAGUGUCUGGUGGGUAGUUUGACUGGGGCGGUCGCCUCCCAAAGAGUAACGGAGGCGCGCGAAGGUUCCCUCAGGCUGAUUGGAAACCAGCCGUGGAGUGUAAAGGCAUAAGGGAGCUUGACUGCGAGAGAGACAUCUCGAGCAGGUACGAAAGUAGGUCUUAGUGAUCCGGCGGUUCCGCAUGGAAGGGCCGUCGCUCAACGGAUAAAAGGUACGCCGGGGAUAACAGGCUAAUCGCAUCCAAGAGUUCACAUCGACGAUGCGGUUUGGCACCUCGAUGUCGGCUCAUCACAUCCUGGGGCUGGAGCAGGUCCCAAGGGUUCGGCUGUUCGCCGAUUAAAGUGGUACGUGAGCUGGGUUUAAAACGUCGUGAGACAGUUUGGUCCCUAUCUUUCGCGGGCGUAGGAUAUUUGAGGGGAUCUGUCCCUAGUACGAGAGGACCGGGAUGGACGAACCAAUGGUGCUCCAGUUGUCGCGCCAGCGGCAUAGCUGGGUAGCUAAGUUCGGAAAGGAUAACCGCUGAAAGCAUCUAAGCGGGAAGCCUACCCCAAGAUUAGAUAUCCCGCAACUUCGGUUGCCUAAAGACCCCUCGAAGAUGACGAGGUUGAUAGGCCGGGUGUGCAAGCACAGUAAUGUGUUCAGCUUACCGGUACUAAUAGGUCGUGAGGCUUGGCCAC